ensembl:lncRNA
GCCUCCUCCAAACCCAAGUCUAGUUUAAAAGGCCACUGCACACUGUGUUUAUUCUGCACAGAGACACAGAGGGUAAACCAGUGUGUUAAUAAAGAGGAACGGAUUGGGUUAUAACUAUGAGGAUUAUUUAGCUUUCUCCUAUAAUGACAUCACAGAUGAAGAUCAGCAGGAGACGGAAGCUUCCCCUUGUCCCUGUGAUGGUGAAGAGCGAUUACGUUGGGAGAAGAUUUUCAUCAUGAUGGAGGACUCACACGUGAUGCAGAAGAUUCUCCUCCAGGCCAAUGAGGAGUUGAAGAUGGAGAUCUCCUCACUGAGAAACCACAUCCAGAAGAUCUCCCGUGACAUCUCCACUUCCUGUCGCAGAGUCAUGGAGGAGACCUGCAGGUCCAUGAACGUGCAGCAGAACCUCAGAGCGGACCAGAACACAACCCGGCUAACACGAGAUGUCCAGCAGAACGUUACUGUACAGCAGCUGGAGGAGACGGAGGAGGUGAGGAAGAGAGAGGACAUGAAGGAUUUGAAGAACGUGGAGAUGACAGAGAUGGACAAAUCUGAGAAGAUGGAGGAGAGUGACAAAUGGUGGAGAUGGACAAAAUGGAGAUUUUGGAGAUGAUGAAGAACUCAGAAUGAAAGAUGACUGGAGUGAUAAUUAUGAUUAAAUCUAUGUGUGUUUCUCUUUGUUCAUGUGCAUGUGCCUGCCAUGUUUACUGUAUUUCUCUGAGGAGCUUCACCACGCUGUUCCUCAUAAGAAGCUUCACGGUGACUCAAAGGCAUUUAGACGUGAUGAUGAUUUCAGACUUUAUAAAACAACUAUGUCAUUUCCAACAUUAUCAUUUUCCUUGUGUUUUAUUUUCACUAUGAGUUUUAUUUCUACCAUUAUAUUUAAAGUCGAGUGUAUCUCCUUGAGUUUGCACCUCCUCAGGAUAAAAUGGGGGGGAGAAAAGGUUUUUAACUAAAACAUUAAUUUUCUGGAGACUGAGCAGGUCUGAGUCUGAGUUCAUUGCUUUGUGUUUUUUCUCUUUCAGUAUAGUGCAG